rnacentral:rRNA from 1 species
GACUUGACGGUAUUUCGAACCCUCCUAGAGGAGCCUGUCCUGUAAUCGACAAUACACGAUUAACCCAACCACCUUUUGCCUUAAACAGCCUGUAUACCGCCGUCGCAAGCUUACCCCUUGAGGGAUAAAUACCUAGCGCAACAGCUCAUUUAUUAAGCUAAUACGUCAGGUCAAGGUGCAGCCAAUAAGCUGGUAGAGAUGGGCUACAUUUUCCACACUAUAGAAAUUAGUCACGGAGAGACCUGUGAAA